UACGAUAUAACCAGUUCUGAUAAUAGUGAUAAUAGUGUAAGUUCGUACAUCAAUACUUAAAGGUUCUAGAGAGAACAAGUUCAAAUCUAUAAGAAAAGGGUAGGGGUACAACCAAGCAUGUUACAUAUUUCAUACUAAUCCGACUCGUCUCCUUAGAUAUGGAACAUAGUUAAGGUCUCCAAUUGUCCAGCCAUUAACUUCAUUAAAAUAAGUUAGAGCACGGAUGAGUGCACUCUCCUUCACUUCACAUGGACGGUCACAUAUACUACUAUAAAUCUCGAACAAUGGAGACGUUAACUGAUGUAGCCUGUAGAAAGUGAGAUGAGCAUGGAACUUCCAAUCUCUGGUGAAUAUCGAGUUUCCACACAUGUAAG
rnacentral:lncRNA from 1 species